GACGAACGCUGGCGGCGUGCUUAACACAUGCAAGUCGAACGAAGAGCGAUGGAAGCUUGCUUCUAUCAAUCUUAGUGGCGAACGGGUGAGUAACGCGUAAUCAACCUGCCCUUCAGAGGGGGACAACAGUUGGAAACGACUGCUAAUACCGCAUACGAUCUAAUCUCGGCAUCGAGGAUAGAUGAAAGGUGGCCUCUACAUGUAAGCUAUCACUGAAGGAGGGGAUUGCGUCUGAUUAGCUAGUUGGAGGGGUAACGGCCCACCAAGGCGAUGAUCAGUAGCCGGUCUGAGAGGAUGAACGGCCACAUUGGGACUGAGACACGGCCCAGACUCCUACGGGAGGCAGCAGUGGGGAAUCUUCCGCAAUGGACGAAAGGCUGAAGGAGCAACGCCGCGUGAGUGAUGACGGCAUUCGGGUUGUAAAGCUCUGUUAAUCGGGACGAAAGGCCUUCUUGCGAAUAGUGAGAAGGAUUGACGGUACCGGAAUAGAAAGCCACGGCUAACUACGUG
rnacentral:rRNA from 1 species